ACAAACAAAACCCAAACCAAAUCUCACUCAUCUCUCAAAUUAUACACACACUUCCACAGGCCAAACACCCUCUCGGUCACCCCUCCCACUCGACAGAAGGCUGGCGGCCAAAGGCCGGUGGAGCCGUUUGCAACAACAGUGGUGAUUGGCGGUGUAUGGACGGUGGAGCGGAGGUGCGAUUACGGCGGUGGCGUGCUGUUUUUGCGACAGAAGACGGCGGCGGUGGUGGUGGAUUGUUGGUGGUUCGAGUGUUGUUGUGGGGCGAAAGGAAAUCGAAGAUGUUGAUGAUCUGAUUUUGUGGUGGUUUGGUUUUACGGUGACAGAUGUGGUGAUUCGUGACUUUCCGACGAGGUGAACGACGGCAAUUCAAGUAUUCAAACGAGGGUUCUUGGUUGCGGUAGUUUUUGGAAUUGGGGAUUUUGGCUCCAUACGCGGCUUCCCUCUUCGUUGCUACUGGAGCAUCAUCAGGCGACAGGUGUGGUUCUGACUGAGGUAUUGAAAAUUUGAAAUGUUUGUUACAUGUGUUUCUUAGUGUGUUAGGUUUUAAUAUGUGUUGAUUGAUGAUGAGGUUUUGAGCUUUAUGUUGAUGGAAUGUUAAAUUUGUAGUUGUAAGAGCAUACGUAAUGGGGCUCCAUAUACCGCCUAAAAGAAAGAUAGCGCCCCCAUAGCGCCCCGCACACCGCGACGGGCGGCGUUAUGGGGAAAAAAAGGGGGGCAGGCGCGAUAUUUUUCACGGGGUUAUGGGGGAAGCUUUUCAACCUUUGACCAAUGAAAAUAAAGCAUGGGUUUUUAUAAAUAAUUAAUAAAAAUGAAAAUUAAUAAUUAGGUAAUGAUGGGUAGGGGCGUUAUGACUACGGGCUCAAGUGAUAUAACGCCCCAUAAAGCCCCUGUGUGACGUGGCACGACACAUGUCGCAUAACGCCCCACAAGGGGCUUUAUGACUACGGAUGGCCUAAGUAUGUGAAUUUUAGAGAAUAGAUGGAUAGCCAUACAAACUAGGCAUGGAUUUAAGAUAUGUGGUUCUUAUUCAGUAUAAUCUCAACUAUGGAUGGUGUGGUUAGCAUCUAAGAUGUGACUUUCAAAGGUUACGGUUUCGAGGUUGGUAGUUGGUGGUUGAGAUCAUACUCACAGGAAACGUAGAUCCCCCCUCGAAUCCCGAAUCGGUUCAGCUGUACUAGAAUUGGGUACAGAAUCGAAUCGUUCGGCCUGGGUUCGCCGUAAGUCAACUCAAGACUGCUUGUCGUAUGUCCACGUGUGGUGAAAUACAGUUAGAAGGAUGUUAUGUGAAGUACAAUAAUACAUCAUUUUUUGGGGCCCCGGAUAAGAUGGAGGUGUGCAGGAGAUGUGGUCCUUCAGUUGGCUAUAAUUCGGAUGUUUUGAACCGUAUAGACAGUGCGUUGGCAUUUCUGGUAGGCGGGAAUGGAGAAUACUUUCGCGAGGGUGAUUUUGGUAGCAUACAAGGUGUGGCACAGUGCAUACAAGAUCUGAGUUUAAGUGAUUGUCAAGAUUGUCUUUCAGAGGCAACUAGACGGUUGAGAUCAGUGUGUGAGACAUCAAGCUGGGGGUGAUAUGUACCUUGGAAAAUGUUAUAUCCGAUAUGCUGAUCAAGGUAUAUAUAUAUGUCUGUUUUUGAUGACGAUGGGUAAUAUUUAUCAUAUUUAUAUAGCAUAAAGUAUUCAUGAGUUAGUGCAGGUACUGUAAAUCUUGCUAAUAUCGGUGACUCUACUUCCAAUGAAAGUAGUGGCGGAGGGAUAAGCGUGUUGGACAUAAUCAACACUAUUUCCAGUUUUAGCUCCAUAUUGGGCACGCUCAGUGUGACUUUUGUUUGCAAUAAAAAAGGUGUAUUACUAGAAUAAUUAGUAUAGCCAUUCAAAGCAAGCCAGGGUAUAUAAGUUAAUUUCUCUUUGUAUUUAUCGUACAUUUUUUUUUAAAUGAGUUAGGUAGAAUAUUGAAUGUAAAAGACAUAAUAUUGGCUGGCUUUUUUUGACCUAAUUAUUUUAGGGCGGCAAUUGAUAACCAUCAACAAUAUAUCACAAUAAUCGUUCCGGAUCACUAGAAAACGUGUUUCCGAUUGAAAAAUUUAUCGUUUCGGAACGAUUCGAUUCGCGUACCAAUCAAUAGAUGAACUAGGUGGUUAGAUGAAAUGACCUCUUCAAGUCCUUAUACUUACAUUGCUUGGUAUAGAUAUCCAUUUUUUACACGUAUAUAUAUCGGGUGAACCCUUUUUUAGAUUUUUUUUCCCUAGAACGACUUCUUUCAACCUGGGCCUGUUUUGGUCCGAACCCUUUUCACCAGUAGUAAUCUAACAUGACCACCUAUUUUUGCCAGGCUUACUUUAGAGUAAUAUCUUUAACAUUUUAUCAUCUCAUUUCAGUUCACAGAAGCAUUUGGAAAGUUCUAUGGUAGCUCAAAACAACGAACUGACAAUGAUAAAGGUCGUCCGGGUGUUCAUGACAACCGAGUGAAGUGCAUAAUUUUUCCAUUGUAACCUUCUUAUUUCAUUUUUUUAAUCUUCAUUUUACCUUAGCUGCGGGUGAGAAUCCGGACUGGUACACAGAGUUUCUACCUAUCUCCGAAAGGUCACAAGAACUUAACUUCCAAACCUGGAAAAAGAUAAAAAACGAGAACACAACAUUGACUACCAGAUGUGGUAAUAUGACAAGUUUUUUUAUGAAUGGGUCAAUUUGGUUAUGUAGAUUAGAUAUUUAGAUUAUAAGGAAUGUAAUCAGACGAGUCGAGUAACAAUUAAUGUUUGAUUUAACUUUACAACUCA